rnacentral:rRNA from 3 species
UAAACGACUCUCGGCAACGGAUAUCUUGGCUCUCGCAUCGAUGAAGAACGUAGCGAAAUGCGAUACUUGGUGUGAAUUGCAGAAUCCCGUGAACCAUCGAGUUUUUGAACGCAAGUUGCGCCCGAAGCCUUCGGCCAGGGCACGUCUGCCUGGGCGUCACGCA